GAGUUUGAUCGUGGCUCAGAUUGAACGCUGGCGGCAUGCCUUACACAUGCAAGUCGAACGGCAGCACGGGAGCUUGCUCCUGGUGGCGAGUGGCGAACGGGUGAGUAAUGCAUCGGAACGUAUCCUGGAGUGGGGGAUAACGUAGCGAAAGUUACGCUAAUACCGCAUAUUCUGUGAGCAGGAAAGCGGGGGACCUUCGGGCCUCGCGCUCUUGGAGCGGCCGAUGUCGGAUUAGCUAGUUGGUGAGGUAAAGGCUCACCAAGGCGACGAUCCGUAGCAGGUCUGAGAGGAUGAUCUGCCACACUGGAACUGAGACACGGUCCAGACUCCUACGGGAGGCAGCAGUGGGAAUUUUGGACAAUGGGGGCAACCCUGAUCCAGCCAUGCCGCGUGAGUGAAGGAGGCC
rnacentral:rRNA from 1 species